rnacentral:tRNA from 1 species
GGAUGGCUCAGAGGUUAAGAGCACUGGCUGCUCUUCCAGAGGUCCUGGGUUCAAAUCCCAGCAACCA